AAAUUGAAGAGUUUGAUCAUGGCUCAGAUUGAACGCUGGCGGCAGGCCUAACACAUGCAAGUCGAGCGGAAACGAGUUAUCAGAACCUUCGGGGGACGAUAACGGCGUCGAGCGGCGGACGGGUGAGUAAUGCCUAGGAAAUUGCCCUGAUGUGGGGGAUAACCAUUGGAAACGAUGGCUAAUACCACCUGA
rnacentral:rRNA from 1 species